rnacentral:rRNA from 1 species
GAGUUUGAUCCUGGCUCAGAUUGAACGCUGGCGGCAUGCCUUACACAUGCAAGUCGAACGGCAGCACGGAGCUUGCUCUGGUGGCGAGUGGCGAACGGGUGAGUAAUAUAUCGGAACGUACCCUGGAGUGGGGGAUAACGUAGCGAAAGUUACGCUAAUACCGCAUACGAUCUAAGGAUGAAAGUGGGGGAUCGCAAGACCUCAUGCUCGUGGAGCGGCCGAUAUCUGAUUAGCUAGUUGGUAGGGUAAAAGCCUACCAAGGCAUCGAUCAGUAGCUGGUCUGAGAGGACGACCAGCCACACUGGAACUGAGACACGGUCCAGACUCCUACGGGAGGCAGCAGUGGGGAAUUUUGGACAAUGGGCGAAAGCCUGAUCCAGCAAUGCCGCGUGAGUGAAGAAGGCCUUCGGGUUGUAAAGCUCUUUUGUCAGGGAAGAAACGGUGAGAGCUAAUAUCUCUUGCUAAUGACGGUACCUGAAGAAUAAGCACCGGCUAACUACGUGCCAGCAGCCGCGGUAAUACGUAGGGUGCAAGCGUUAAUCGGAAUUACUGGGCGUAAAGCGUGCGCAGGCGGUUUUGUAAGUCUGAUGUGAAAUCCCCGGGCUCAACCUGGGAAUUGCAUUGGAGACUGCAAGGCUAGAAUCUGGCAGAGGGGGGUAGAAUUCCACGUGUAGCUGUGAAAUGCGUAGAUAUGUGGAGGAACACCGAUGGCGAAGGCAGCCCCCUGGGUCAAGAUUGACGCUCAUGCACGAAAGCGUGGGGAGCGAACAGGAUUAGAUACCCUGGUAGCCCACGCCCUAAACGAUGUCUACUAGCUGUCGGGUCUUAAUUGACUUGGUAACGCAGCUAACGCGUGAAGUAGACCGCCUG